UACGAAGGGGGGCUAGCGUUGCUCGGAAUCACUGGGCGUAAAGGGUGCGUAGGCGGGUCUUUUAAGUCAGGGGUGAAAUCCUGGAGCUCAACUCCAGAACUGCCUUUGAUACUGAGGAUCUUGAGUUCGGGAGAGGUGAGUGGAACUGCGAGUGUAGAGGUGAAAUUCGUAGAUAUUGGGAAGAACACCGGUGGCGAAGGCGGCGACCUGGUCUUUUACUGAGCUGAGGCGCGAAAGCGUGGGGAGCAAACAGG
rnacentral:rRNA from 1 species